rnacentral:rRNA from 1 species
AUUGAACGCUGGCGGCAGGCCUAACACAUGCAAGUCGGGCGAGCGAAGGACGGGUGAGGAAUGUCUAGGGACUGCCCGAUAGAGGGGGAUAACUACUGGAAACGGAAGCUAAUACCGCAUACACGCGGAUAACCGAGAUGGGAUUAGCUAGUAGGUGAGGGAAUGGCUCACCUAGGCGACGAUCCCUAGCUGGGCUGAGAGGAUGAUCAGCCACACUGGGACUGAGACACGGCCCAGACUCCUACGGAGGCAGCAGUGGGGAAUAUUGCACAAUGGGCGCAAGCCUGACGCAGCCAUGCCGCGUGAGUGAAGAAGGCCCUAGGGUUGUAAAGUACUUUCAGUAGGGAGGCGUUAUCGAAAGAAGAAGCACCGGCUAACUCCGUGCCAGCAGCCGCGGUAAUAC